AGAAUCGCUUGAACCCAGGAGGUGGAGGUAGCAGUGAGCCAAGAUCACACCACUGCAUUCCAGCCUGGGCGACAGAGCGAGACUCCAUCUCAAAAAAAAAAAAAAAAGGAAAGGAAGGUUUAAGUGCCUAGUCCAUUCUAGUAUUGCAGUUACAAACAUUUAUAAUGACUUAAUGAACGUGUGAAUAAAUUGUAAAUUCUUUGUAUGAAAUAAAUUUUCAGUUUUAAAAGACUAUGUUACAAUAUCCUAAGAUACUACAUAAUAAGCAAAUAUGUUUAAGUAUUUGUUUUGUUUUUUGGGGGAUUUACAGGGUCAUCAUCAAAUCCACAGCAAAUUUCCAGUUUUGACUUCACAACCACAAAGGCUUUAUCAGAAGACUCAGUAGUAGUUGUUGGAAAAGGCGUAUUUGGAAGUUUAAGUUCAGCACCAGCAACCU
rnacentral:lncRNA from 1 species